GAGUGCAAAUUUAUUGUUAAGACAUCAAGUUGAUAACUUAGCAACCAAAAGAAAAUGAGAAAAAAAAAACAGAAGAGAGUUGGAAUAAGUUACUAAACAGAACUUGUACUUGGCACGGAUCUCGUUAGUGGCCCAUAGGUUCAUAAGGUAAAUCUUGGGUAGCACAUCACUCAUGAUCAUACCAACUCAAGGUACAUGUACAGAAGAGGUUCAAAAUGUCGCAUCAACACACACAUGCGCGCGUCAUCAUCAUCAGUCAUCGUCAUACAUCAUUCUCUGACAAUCCUUUACCUUUUGGUCGUAGAGAUUUGGCUUUACGAAAGAUCCAGCCCAAUUAAGAGAUACAGACGCUUUACCAUGAUUUAUCUUGAGAUCUUUAGGUAGUGUUGUCGCCAGAACUGCAAAGUACUCUUGCCAUUUAAGGAAAGAGAAUUCAAGCCUAUCAAGGCAGUUAAGCAAGUCUUCAAUGAGAAGAUAGGUACCUGUGGCUUCUUCCUCUGCAUAUAUAACAUCAUGGCUUUUAAGAUCCAACUGAAAUGAAAGAAACCAACCAAGAAGAUGAGGUUCACAAUGGUAGUUAUUAUGCGUGACGUGUAAGUUUUCUGUUUUCGAACACGAAACAAAGUAAGAUAAAGAGACACAAAGUAUGUAUUUCCAGUUAUGUUCAGUUAGUCAGAGUCGCAAACACAGAGUGUAACUUUUGUUUGUAGGAAGAAGGAAGCGUACAUGUACAAUAGGUCAAUUGUGUAGUCAACGUCUUAUAUCUAACAAACCAAAGUGAAAGAUACAGUACAUAGUGCUUGAUUUUGCAAAAUUUUGUUUAGUAGAUUUGUAUGAUUUAUCUC